rnacentral:rRNA from 1 species
AACGAACGCUGGCGGCAGGCCUAACACAUGCAAGUCGGACGCCGUAGCAAUACGGAGUGGCAGACGGGUGAGUAACGCGUGGGAACCUUCCCUAUGGUUCGGAAUAGCUCAGGGAAACCUGGGGUAAUACCGGAUAAGCCCUUCGGGGGAAAGAUUUAUCGCCAUUGGAUGGGCCCGCGUCGGAUUAGCUAGUUGGUGAGGUAACGGCUCACCAAGGCGACGAUCCGUAGCUGGUCUGAGAGGAUGAUCAGCCACACUGGGACUGAGACACGGCCCAGACUCCUACGGGAGGCAGCAGUGGGGAAUAUUGGACAAUGGGCGAAAGCCUGAUCCAGCCAUGCCGCGUGAGUGACGAAGGCCUUAGGGUUGUAAAGCUCUUUUGGCGGGGAAGAUAAUGACGGUACCCGCAGAAUAAGCUCCGGCUAACUUCGUGCCAGCCGCCGCCGUAA